GUUCAAUGGAUAGAACGGGCGCCUCCUAAGCGCCAGAUACAGGUUCGAUUCCUGUCGGAGGGACCA
rnacentral:tRNA from 1 species